rnacentral:pre_miRNA from 1 species
CAAAGUUAUGAUUGUACGUUGUCACUUCAUUGCUCAGUACACUGGGUGUAUAUGAGGGACAAAGUUAUGAAAUACAUCCAGUGUACUGAGCAAUGAAGUGACAACGUACAACAAUCAUAACUUUGU